AUGGUUUUCACCUGUGGUUCUAUUCACAUAGCGGCAUUUAAGGACCUUACAAAAAAGAACCUUGUACUCAAAGACAAAUCCAGUGCACUCUAUACCUGCCACACCAACUUCAUAUUAUUCAGGAGCAGAGAAAGCAUAAAAUGAUGUGUAGAAGGCUGGCCUUGGAAUCAGGAACAUCUGAGUUCAAGUGUUGCCUCUGAUACAGUCUAUCUAUGUGACCAUGGGCAAGUCACAAAACUUCUUUAUAUUGUGGAGAACUCUCUUAAGACCAUGAUUUACAGAUGAAUUGCUGUUUGCAGGGGUGAAGGGAGUUUACACACUGAGAAUUCUCCCAAGGUGGAGAAAUUACAGGUCUAGAACCUAUAUUUCAGGGAAAAAAAUAAAAACAUUCAAAGAGUGAUGGGAAUUUAUUUC
rnacentral:lncRNA from 1 species